GGGGACGGCGGCGCCCCGGGACCCGGCGAGCAACUCCCGGGCCCCCUCUCUUCAAAAUGAGCUCUUCCAGCUCCACAUGACUCUCUCCCCUCCGGGCUAAAGAAAGCGUUUAGCAACAAAAGGUGCUCUGAUGUCCGGCUCUUGGCAUGGAAAUGAGCCGCGGACACAACAAAUCGCCUGUUGAAAGAGCAGCCGCGCCGCGGCCUCGAGCCCGCUCUGACAACCCUAGCUAUAAAGGAAGCAUUCUGGUUCUUAUUCUCAUCUUAAAAUGUUGCUCCAAUCACCCUGGGCUGCUUAAUGCAUAGCCUAACUCUCUGGGAGCGCCAUGACUUCAGUGGAAGGAAGCUGUCUUAUCAUCGUCUUCCCGCAGGAAGAUAAACAAAUCAAGGAGGAAAAUGUGACUCUCCACAGCACCCCUGCUAUGCAGGCCCCAGGGUCACCGGCUCCCCAGGGCAAGGCACACCGUGGCCCAGUUUUCCUCUCUGUGCGGAAGGAAGAGCAUUUCACAGUGCAGAUGCUCAUUAGGAUACCUUUCCAGAAGUUUCUUCCCACUUCUGGAGGAUGAGUCUGUCGUGUGGAAAUACCAGCAAUGUAAAGAAUGCAGCAACAAAGAGAUCGUCUGCCCGGAAGACCUUGCUCCCCGCAGGCUGGCCCCACGAGGGAGACAAAUCGUCCACAGCUGCAGACCUCGCUCUCUGGCCUUUGCCUUCACAGGCUCAAAAACUGCACCUUCUGUAUUUGCUGCAUUCCCCAAGCACUCCAAGCAUGGCAAGCUACAGCGCAGAGGAGCGCAUUCUUCACGCUUGGUAUCCUCCUGCUAUCUCCCCAUUCAACGCUCUGUGUUAGGAAGACUUGCCUCUCCUUCUCCCUGUCCUCACUUCCUAGCUGACACUGGGCGGGGACUACAUAUAUGUGACGCUGAAUGGAUAGAAUGGGAGAGUGACCACAGUUCACAGCAUGCUGCCUUUAGAGCCAGACAACAUUUUAAAACAAUUCUGGUUAGCUAAGUUACUCAACCCUACUGAGCCUUAGUUUUUUCAUCCGCAAAAUGGACUUAUGAAUACUGUGUAGUCCACAGUUAUGUAUGACAGAGGUGUAAAAAGUGUCCAAGGGCUUCACAGCGCUAAGUAAAUGUUACUAUUUUUUUUUUUUUU